rnacentral:rRNA from 1 species
UACGUAGGGUGCGAGCGUUAAUCGGAAUUACUGGGCGUAAAGUGUGCGCAGGCGGCUGAGCAAGUCGAGUGUGAAAUCCCCGGGCUUAACUUGGGAAUUGCGCUCGAAACUACUUGGCUGGAGUGUGGCAGAGGAAGGUGGAAUUCCACGUGUAGCGGUGAAAUGACGUAGAGAAUGUGGAGGAACACCGAAUGGCGAAAGGCGCAAGGCCCAUUCUCGGGUCCAACUACGUGAACCACGCAUCCAGCUUGACUGACCAGGAAAAAAGGCCGGUGGGGGGG